rfam:Asian citrus Psyllid, Diaphorina citri - Florida Strain, whole genome shotgun sequence.
GCCUCUGUGGCCGAGUGGUCAAGAGCACUGACUCUCAACCUGGAGGUGCUGGGUUCAAAUCCCGGCCGGGGCG